rnacentral:rRNA from 1 species
AUUGAACGCUGGCGGCAGGCCUAACACAUGCAAGUCGAGCGGGGUUUUCGGACCUAGCGGCGGACGGGUGAGUAAUGCGUAGGAAGCUGCCCGAUAGAGGGGGAUACCAGUUGGAGACGACUGUUAAUACCGCAUAAUGUCUACGGACCAAAGUGUGGGACCUUCGGGCCACAUGCUAUCGGAUGCGCCUACGUGGGAUUAGCUAGUUGGUGAGGUAAUGGCUCACCAAGGCGACGAUCUCUAGCUGGUUUGAGAGGAUGAUCAGCCACACUGGAACUGGGACACGGUCCAGACUCCUACGGGAGGCAGCAGUGGGGAAUAUUGGACAAUGGGCGCAAGCCUGAUCCAGCCAUGCCGCGUGUGUGAAGAAGGCCUUCGGGUUGUAAAGCACUUUCAGCGAGGAGGAAGGGGUGUGUGUUAAUAGUACACACCUUUGACGUUACUCGCAGAAGAAGCACCGGCUAACUCUGUGCCAGCCGCCGCCGUAAUAC